rnacentral:rRNA from 1 species
UACGUAGGGUGCGAGCGUUGUCCGGAAUUAUUGGGCGUAAAGAGCUCGUAGGCGGCUUGUCGCGUCGGAUGUGAAAGCCCGGGGCUUAACUCCGGGUCUGCAUUCGAUACGGGCAGGCUAGAGUUCGGUAGGGGAGAUCGGAAUUCCUGGUGUAGCGGUGAAAUGCGCAGAUAUCAGGAGGAACACCGGUGGCGAAGGCGGAUCUCUGGGCCGAUACUGACGCUGAGGAGCGAAAGCGUGGGGAGCGAUCCGG